GGUAGUAACGCGUGAGCAACCUGCCUAUGACAGUGGAUAGCCUCGGGAAACCGGGAUUAAUACCGCAUAAAAUCGUAGAAACACAUGUUUUAACGGUCAAAGAUUUAUCGGUCAUAGAUGGGCUCGCGUCUGAUUAGCUAGUUGGUGAGAUAACAGCCCACCAAGGCGACGAUCAGUAGCCGGUCUGAGAGGAUGAACGGCCACAUUGGAACUGAGACACGGUCCAA
rnacentral:rRNA from 1 species